rnacentral:tRNA from 1 species
UCUAAUAUGGCAGAUAAAUGCUAUGAACUUAAAAUUCAUAUAUAAAAAUAAUUUUUUUAUUAGAA